ACCGCAUACGUCCUACGGGAGAAAGCAGGGGAUCUUCGGACCUUGCGCUAAUAGAUGAGCCUAAGUCGGAUUAGCUAGUUGGUGGGGUAAAGGCCUACCAAGGCGACGAUCUGUAGCGGGUCUGAGAGGAUGAUCCGCCACACUGGGACUGAGACACGGCCCAGACUCCUACGGGAGGCAGCAGUGGGGAAUAUUGGACAAUGGGCGCAAGCCUGAUCCAGCCAUGCCGCGUGUGUGAAGAAGGCCUUAUGGUUGUAAAGCACUUUAAGCGAGGAGGAGGCUACUGAAGUUAAUACCUUCAGAUAGUGGACGUUACUCGCAGAAUAAGCACCGGCUAACUCUGUGCCAGCAGCCGCGGUAAUACAGAGGGUGCAAGCGUUAAUCGGAUUUACUGGGCGUAAAGCGCGCGUAGGCGGCUAAUUAAGUCAAAUGUGAAA
rnacentral:rRNA from 2 species